rnacentral:rRNA from 1 species
AGAGUUUGAUCCUGGCUCAGGACGAACGCUGGCGGCGUGCCUAACACAUGCAAGUCGAGCGGAGACAGUGAGUAGCUUGCUAUGAGCUGUUUUAGCGGGCGGACGGGUGAGUAACGCGUGAGCAACCUUUCCCAGACAGGGGAAUAACACACCGAAAGGUGUACUAAUACCGCAUAAGACCACGGAAUCACAUGGUUCUGAGGUAAAAGAUUUAUCGGUUUGGGGUGGGCUCGCGUCCGACUAGGUAGUUGGUGAGGUAACCGG